GCGUGCGCGUUACCAUGGUAGCCAGGCAGGCUAGCUGCGGGCUCUAGUCGCUGAGAUCUCAAAAGUAUUUCUGCAGCGCCCGGGCGCGGGUGCUGCUUCAGAGCCCCGGUUACGAUCUGCUGAGCGCAGCCUCCGCUCUCUGUGGGGAGGGACCACUCAGCCGGGGUCUUACUUUAGGAGCCCUCCAUGGCUUCCCAGGAGAGGGUGGAGACAGUGACCAAAGGAGCAGGGUUCUGGCGCUGCCCCAAGCCGGCCACUUACACCCCAGAGACCUGCGAGCUGCUCAGAGCUCAGGAAGCCUCACUGAAGUGCUUUGUCCUGCAGUGAUGAUGAAGGAAUCCAAACUGACAAACUUCCAACGGCGCCACAUCAUGGACACCAUGAAACGUAAGAGGCCAUCUGCAGAAGCUUCCAGGGCAGAGGGAUCCUAUGCCACAUUUUUCAUGCUUCUCCAUAUUAAGGAGUAGGGGACCUCAUUUUAAAAGAGAAAAAAAAAUUGAAUAGUAUUUCUGACUCUUGCUCCUGGGGAAUUGACUUUGCAGGGUCUUUGCUUCUUCCCCCGACGUGGGUCACAGCACAUGAGCCCCUCCUGCAGUCUGGCUCCAGCCAACCUUCCCAACAGAUCACAGCCCAUUCGAGACUUCCUGCCCAGCCAAAUACUCUGAACGCUGUCAAGUCUACAAACUAAUCCCACCCUCUUACACACAUACCAUAUGAGCUCGCCGGAGGAGAGGACUGUGUGUGUCUCAUUCAUAGAUUUUUUCAUUCAUAGCUUAGCUGGCAGGAACAAGAUUACUGGCAGGCUUCCAACUUAGGAAAAGUAUGCAAAACCUUUCCACAGCUCACCUCUAACCACACAUUGUAUUAUUUAUUUUCAAGGAAAACAAAAAAGUGAAUGUACAUGGGCACAAUAACAAGGUGCUCUCUAAGAUCUUAAAAACAACCUUGCUUUCUGAGAUUUAACUGAAUCAACACGUAGUGGAUCAGAACAGAGAUCUGUAGAGUUACCUUUAAGAGGAUGCCAGAAGGUCCAAACCUGCCAAAUCUCACUUGAAUCUACCAAUAGCUCUUGCCGUCUCUCCAGAAAGAAGGUACCUAUCAGGAGGCAUCUGGUCAACCACAGAGGCAUGGGGAUGGGAAAGUCAGAGGGACAAAUAUCGACAGUGCCUGCCCAGCACUGGCAGAGGGAGGGAGGCUCCGUCAGACCAGUUCAGAAGUCAGAUCUCCUUCCUCAUUGUAGACAAGGACAACUCAGGCCGCCAUUGCCUAGCACCACAACACGGCUGAGUCACAGAACUCAAUCUCCAUACUCAGCAGUCUACUAAUCAUUGGGGUCCCCUAUAACAUGACUACAAAGAAUAUGCUAGAAAUUCCACUAAAAGUAAAUACCAGGAGACCAAGGACUGGGUCUGCCUUGUUCACCAUGGCACCUUGGCUCCCAGGCGCUCAACAUUAGUUGAAGGACUAAUUGCAUUAGUGGUUAGGGCAACACAAGUCACCAGUUUGCCUGGAAGUUUUGUUCUCCUUAAAAGUUUUUUCUUUAAAAUAUUGCCUCCAAGCAUUGGUGUUGAGUCUGGUUUCUUCUCCUAGAAUCAUCUCUCUAUUCCUCUCUUCUUUCUUUUUUUUUUUAAUUUAUCUUAUUUAUUUAUUUUUGUCUGCAUUGGGU